CACGUAGGGCGCAAGCGUUGUCCGGAAUCAUUGGGCGUAAAGAGCGCGUAGGCGGCCCUGUAAGUCCGCUGUGAAAGUCCAGGGCUCAACCCUGGGGAUGCCGGUGGAUACUGUCGGGCUCGAGUCCGGAAGAGGCGAGUGGAAUUCCUGGUGUAGCGGUGAAAUGCGCAGAUAUCAGGAGGAACACCAAUGGCGAAGGCAGCUCGCUGGGACGUGACUGACGCUGAGGAGCGAAAGCGUGGGGAGCGAACAGG
rnacentral:rRNA from 1 species